GAGCGGUCGUAGCAAUACGGCAGCGGCAGACGGGAGAGUAACACGUGGGCAAUCUGCCCUCCGAUGGGGAAUAACUCCGGGAAACCGAAGCUAAUUCCGCAUAACAUUCCCUGGACUCCGGUUCGGGGAUUCAAAGCAGCAAUGCGUCGGAGGAGGAGCCCGCGCCCGAUUAGCUAGUUGGUGAGGUAACGGCUCACCAAGGCAAUGAUCGGUAGCUGGUCUGAGAGGAUGGCCAGCCACACUGGAACUGAGACACGGUCCAGACUCCUACGGGAGGCAGCAGUGGGGAAUCUUGCGCAAUGGGCGAAAGCCUGACGCAGCGACGCCGCGUGGGGGAUGAAGCUUCUCGGAGUGUAAACCCCUUUCGACCGGGACGAAUGCCCGCAAGGGAGUGACGGUACCCGCAGAAGAAGCCCCGGCUAACUUCGUG
rnacentral:rRNA from 1 species